rnacentral:sRNA from 1 species
GCUGGGUGCAGUGGUGUGUGCCUGUAAUCCCAGCGGCUCAGGAUGCUGAGGCAGGAGGAUCUCAAAGCCAGCUUGAGCAAAAGUGAGACACUAAGCAACUCAGUGAGACCCUGUCUCUA